AAAGCUGGAGGCCGUCAGGAUCACCAGAAAAAUAUAUUAAAGGGAAACAGAGCAGAGGUUACAGACUCGGGUAAGGACAACUCUCAACAAACUAGGAGAGAAAACUAUUAGGAGACGAAGAGGGCACAACGACAACAAGAACAGAGCAGGGCAGCGAGACGGUGGGAAUUAGGUGCCAGGCAAGAAGAAGGCUACUCGCUGUGGUUGGGAUAUUGUAGAUGAAGGCCAUGUGGGUUGGUUGCCGGACCCCACCAACAUGCAAUGAUGCGUCGUCCUGUAUUUAUCUAGACUCAGCCCUGCCCAAAGUAAUAAUAUUAGUAUGACAGCAGGAGAUACCAGAAAUAUAUAUGAUCGAGGGCCAAAAAAAAAAAAGUUUGUAAAACAGGGAAAAUGAUCUCUUCCCCAUUUACUACCAUGGUGGUGGAGUCCGGCGCCGUCGGUGACCAUCCCCGACUUCAUGGAGGUGGAGCGGGGGGCCAGCAACAAGCCUCUCCCUCUCCGGAUCUUGUUGGCUGGGGCGAAGCCACGUUACGUCGAAG
rnacentral:lncRNA from 1 species